GCCUGGCUGGCUUGGUCGGAAGAGCAUAUGACUCUUGAUCUUGGGGUUGUGAGUUCGAGCCCCAUGUUGGGUG
rfam:Ailuropoda melanoleuca scaffold1356_92, whole genome shotgun sequence.